rnacentral:rRNA from 1 species
GUGCAGCAGGCGCGAAACCUUUGCAAUGCGCGAAAGCGUGACAAGGGGACCCCAAGUGCCGCUGGCUUUUAGUCGGCGGCUUUUAGAGAGUCUAAAGAGCUCUCGGAAUAAGGGCUGGGUAAGUCGGGUGCCAGCCGCCGCGGUAAUACCCGCAGCCCAAGUGGUGGCCGCGAUUAUUGGGCCUAAAGCGCUCGUAGCCGGGUUGGCAAGUCCUUUGUGAAAUCGACCAGGAGACUGGUCGGCGCGCGGAGGAUACUGCCAGUCUAGAGGCCGGGAGACGCCGAGGGUACUCCGGGGGUAGCGGUGAAAUGCUGUAAUCCUUGGGGGACCACCAGUGGCGAAGGCGUUCGGCGAGAACGGACCUGACGGUGAGGGGCGAAGGCUAGGGGAGCGAACGGGAUUAGAUACCCCGGUAGUCC